rnacentral:rRNA from 1 species
UGGGGAAUAUUGCACAAUGGGCGAAAGCCUGAUGCAGCGACGCCGCGUGAGGGAUGACGGCCUGCGGGUUGUAAACCUCUUUCAGCAGGGACGAAGCGCAAGUGACGGUACCUGCAGAAGAAGCACCGGCUAACUACGUGCAAGCAGCCGCGGUAAUACGUAGGGUGCAAGCGUUGUCCGGAAUUACUGGGCGUAAAGAGUUCGUAGGCGGUUAGUCGCGUCGUUUGUGAAAACCAGCAGCUCAACUGCUGGCUUGCAGGCGAUACGGGCAGACUUGAGUACUGCAGGGGAGACUGUAAUUCCUGGUGUAGCGGUUAAAUGCGCAGCUCUCAGGAGGAACACCGGUGGCGAAGGCGGGUCUCUGGGCAGUAACUGACGCUUAGGAACGAAAGCGUGGGUAUCGCACAGU